CUUUGGGGCAUGCUAAAACAUGCAGUCGAGCGGAACGAUGGGAGCUUGCUCCCAGGCGUCGAGCGGCGGAGGGGUGAGUAACACGUGGGAAUCGGCCCAUUAAUGGGGGAUAACUCGGGGAAACUCGAGCUAAUACCGCAUAAUCCCUACGGGGGAAAGCGGGGGAUCUUCGGACCUUGCUCUGAUGGAUGAUCCCGCGUCGGAUUAGCUUGUUGGUGGGGUAAUGGCCCACCAGGGCGACGAUCCGUAACUGGUCUGAGAGGAUGGCCAGUCACACCGGGACUGAGACACGGCCCGGACUCCUACGGGAGGCAGCAGUGGGGAAUCUUGGACAAUGGGCGCAAGCCUGAUCCAUCGCAUGGCCGUGCAGUGGUAGUGGAAAGAAGGUCCUGUCGGGUAGAUAACAUGUCAACUUUCAGUGAAGGAGGAAGGCAUUACCUUGUGGCUAAUUACCCGUGGGAGCUACUUGAGCGUUCACCUAGCAGAAAGAAAGCACGCGGAUAAUUUUCGUCGCCACAGCAGGCCCGCGGGUAAAUAACGAAAGAUGGGUCGACGAGCGUUACAUCCGGAAAUUACUGGGGCGUAAGAGCGCGGCGGUAGUGCGUGUGUGUUUAAAGUCGGGAUGUGAAAAGCACAGGCGCUACAACCUGUGAGAAGUCGCAUCCAGAAUACUGGGCACGCUAGAGUAGCAGUAGAGAGGAGGGUAGAUAUCUUCCCGGUGUAGCCGGUGAAAGUGCGUAGAGAUCGGGAAGGGAACACCAGUGGCGAAGGCGGCCUCCGUGGACUGACACUGACGCUGAGGUGAGAAAGCGUGGGAGAGCAAACAGGAUUAGAUACCCGUGGUAGUACCACGCCGUAAACGAUGUCUACUAGCCGUUGGGGUCCGUUAGUGACUUUGCUGGCCGCAGCUAACGCGAUAAGUAGACCGCCUGGGGCAGUACGGCCGACAACGUUUAAAACUCAAAUGAACUCGACGGGAGGUCCAGCACAAGCCGGUGGCAGCAUGUGUGUUUCAUAUUCGAUGCAACGCGAAGAACCUUACCAGGCCUUGACAUCUCUGCGAACUUUCUAGAGAUACAUUGAUGCCUUCGGGAGCGCUAGUGACGAGCUGAUGCAUAGCUGUCGUCAGCUCGUGUCGUGAGAUGUUCGGGUUAAGUCCCGGUAACGAGCGCAACCCUUGUCUUUAGUUGCCCGCACUUCGGGUGGGAACUCUAGGGAGACUGCCGGUGACAAACCGGAGGAAGGUGGGGACGACGUCAAGUCAUCAUGGCCCUUACGGCCUGGGCUACACACGUGCUACAAUGGUUGGUACAGAGGGUUGCGAAGUCGCGAGGCGGAGCUAAUCUCUCAAAGCCAAUCGUAGUCCGGAUUGGAGUCUGCAACUCGACUCCAUGAAGUCGGAAUCGCUAGUAAUCGCGGAUCAGAAUGCCGCGGUGAAUACGUUCCCGGGCCUUGUACACACCGCCCGUCACACCAUGGGAGUGUGAUUGCACCAGAAGUAGUUAGUCGUAACCUUCGGGAGGCCGCAUACCACGGUGUGUUCCCAAGUGG
rnacentral:rRNA from 1 species